CUACGGGAGGCUGCAGUGGGGAAUAUUGGACAAUGGGGGAAACCCUGAUCCAGCAAUGCCGCGUGUGUGAAGAAGGCCUGCGGGUUGUAAAGCACUUUCGGUUGGGAGGACUGCUUCUAGCACUAAUAUUGUUGGAAGUUGACGUUGCCUUCAGAAGAAGCACCGGCUAACUCCGUGCCAGCAGCCGCGGUAAUACGGUGGGUGCAAGCGUUAAUCGGAAUUACUGGGCGUAAAGCGCGCGUAGGCGGCUAGAUCAGUCGGGUGUGAAAGCCCCGGGCUUAACCUGGGAACUGCAUCCGAUACUGUCUAGCUUGAGUACAGGAGAGGAGAGUGGAAUUCCACAUGUAGCGGUGAAAUGCGUAGAUAUGUGGAGGAACACCAAUGGCGAAGGCAGCUCCCUGGCCUGACACUGACGCUGAGGUGCGAAAGCGUUGGGAGCAAACAGGAUUAGAUACCCUGGUAGUC
rnacentral:rRNA from 1 species